GAUAAUUAUUUUGCCACGCUAAAGAUCGCUCCUGCACAGCAACAGCGUUUUAGCCAAUCAGGUGAUCAGGACAGCCGUGCAGCUCGCGUCAGCCUUGAUCACCUCAGAUUUUAAAAUCAAGAUACUGCAGAUGGUUACAAAAGAUGGAGACAAAGAACCCCCUAAUCUAGGAUAGAGAUCAAUGUACAUGGUAUUAAACAUAAUAAAGGAGAAGAGCACCACUGACAAUGUAAGGGGGGUAACAAUGAUUUAUUUACUCAUCCAAACAUGAACUUACUCCUAUGAAAGGGUUAUGUCAACAGAGUGGAAAGGCAAUAUAAUAAAGUAACAAUAAAUAAGAAACAUUUCUGAACUACUGACAGUUAGUGACAAAUAUAACAAAACAAUCUUUGAUCAUCACGGUGAAAAACAAAACAGUCUCUGAGAGAAAUAUUAGUAUAGUAUAACUCAUAAUCAAAGAGCUUCUGGAAGAAGUUUCUUAACCUCCAGAACUAUUUAGGAGGGUCCUUGGCUUGGUGAUCCUGUCUGGGUAGCCGGUUGUAAUCUGUAAAGAUAAACAGAAUAAAUAUAAGUGAAAAAGAAAACAAACACACAAAUUACUUUAAUUAGAAGAUUCCCAAACCAGAAAAAUGCCCUGCCACCAUCAGGCACUACAAAUAAACCUGGGGAGGGAGAGAUGGGUGCUUUGCUAGGUGGUUAUGCUUAUCCCUAGGACAAAGAAAGUGUGCAGGUCAUCGAUUACUGCAAACUCUAGUUUGUCCCUCCGGGAGGCAUAACCACCUAGCAAAGCUAGUGGGUUGAAUAGCACGCACCUGGUGGUGGUCUUAAGGAACUGUAAACGUUCAACUUCAGAUGGCCUCCCUUAAAACUUAACGAAAGUCUUACUGGAAGACCAUCUUGCAGCUUUAAGGAUAAUAUGAAGAGGAAGGCCUCUUGCUGCUGCUUUUGAAGCUGAAGCCCCUCUUACAGAAUGACCCUUAAAAACUGUGACAUCAAUACCCGCUGCAGACAUAGCGGACAGUAUCCAACCCCUGAUUGUGUUAACCUUAGCUGGCCGAAAAGGUUUUCUGGAAGUAAUUGCGUAAAGUCUUGUCUGACUGGGGCAGAAAGAUUAAAGUAGGAAUUUAACAAAUUAACUAAAC